ensembl:lncRNA
GGUGUCUCCCCUCGCCUGCCCCUGCUUUCCCCGAGCCGCAGGCAGGGAGGCCGCGGGCAGAGCCGCACGUCUGCACCUGCAGAUCAAAAAAGUCAUUCACGGACUGCGGCUUUUAAAACAGCGGCCUGAUGUUUGUCAGGAGAGGCCUGUGGGAUAAUAAAAAAUUACCAUUUGGUCUUUGUCCCCAGGCACUGGCACCUGGGGCGGGUGAGGCUCUUCUGGCUGCUGCUGAGGUGCCUGGGGGCUGCUCCCAGCUCCAGGUGCCAGGGUUGGACCUUUAGGUCUCCAUCCCUCCCCCAACCUGCAGUGGAGAAGCAAGGUGAUGGGGAUUAACGCCCAGCCUCCAGUGACUAAUCAGUCCUGCUUCUGUAACGAAACCUCCGUAAAAGCCCCUGAGCCCCGGGGGCUCGAGGAGAAUGCAGAAAAGCAUGGGUCGGGCUCCAGAGAAAAUACACACAAAGAAGAGAAGCACAUUUGGAUCUCACCAGGCAGCUUUCGGGUAAGCAAGCGGCAGGAUGGGGCUGGGGUAUGUCCCCUUGGGGACGCAGCCUGCGUGGCCUGUACAUGUGGAUCACAGAGCCACGUUCCCUGGAAUCCAAAUGGGCCACGCACUCAGGCCCACGGGCAUCCUGCAUCGGAGCCUGGGCUCUGGGGAGGCCUCCCUUCAUGGCCCCAGGCUCCUUGUCCGCCCCUCUGGCCAUGGCGAGGGGCCAGGCCUCAGGGGUCCUGUCCAGCGCCACCGGAACCAAUGGGGGAGGAGGUGGCCCCUGGAAACACCAUGAUAGGCACCCAUCUUGGCUGGGGGAGAGGUGGGGUGUGCUCUGGGGAGGGACAGUGGCAUCUCUGGGUCAGGACCCCCUCCUGGAAUCUGAGGUCAUUCUCUGUGCCAAGGGCAGGGGCUCAGCUACGGAACACCCACGAGCCCCACAUGUGGACCCCGUGCAAGCUGGGGGGCACUCAUGGGGUGGGCUCUGGGCGAAGAUGUUGACGGGGGUGCAUCUCAUAUAUUUCUGAAGAGCGCAGGCUCUGCCCGGUGGGUCCCUGGCUUUGAGUCGGCCUGACGUCUCCUCGCUACAGGUGGCAGGUGUGCGUGUGUGUGUGUGCGAGUGUGUGCAUGUGUCGGGCGCAGGAUCGGCGCCCGGUGCCGUGGGGAGGGCGUGAUUCCAGCGUGUGGCUCUGUCAGCAAGGACUCCUCCAGGCCCCUUCUCCCCUCGUAGCCUGGAGACCGCCUGCGCCCUGCUUCCCACCAAACCCCGUUUAUGUAUGUCAUGUCUUCGUACUUCCACGCUCUGGCCGCCUGAGCCAUGGCCUGCGGCAGCCUGUCCCGGGGGCCCUGCUUGCCGUCCUUCCGUCUUCUGGGACUCGGGUGUUGAGGUCCUCCGCGCGUCCCCUCUGUCUUGGUGCCUCUGGUGGACGCGGGACUGAGAAUGUACUGGCUGCACGUGCUCGUGUGGGUGCUCACAUCUACCACCGCUCACAUCAGAGCUGGGAGUUCGCUGACGCCUCCGUUCCACCGCGGCCACAGGCUCAUUUGGGUUUUCCGCGUCGGAGCCUGUGGGUCACGUCUCCACAGCGCAGAUUGCCCUGUGCUGCUCAGAGCCUGCUGCCACCAUGCCUGUGUGGCUGCCAGUCCCUGGGGGGAGGGCCUCUGCCAACUCUCCGAGGGUUUAGGGUUGCUCAUUCUAGGAAGGGGCCGGGCGGGGGGCGUGUGUUCACGUCUAGGACAGCGGAGUGACAUGACAGUGGAGUUCGCCUGGGCAUCGGCUCCUCCUGCCGCCGCGUGACGCCCACCUGCCCGCGCACCGGUGAGACCCUCGGGCUGACGCAGCUACUCCUGCUGGCAGCCACUGCGGGCACUGUCCUCUGCUCUCUGGUCACCAGAUGCCCCCCCCCCCCCACUAUGGGCAGCAGACCCAUAUCUGUAGCGCCUCUGAACUUCUGGUGCCUCCUGUGCGCUUCCUUCCUGGAGCCUCCUGCGUGUCCUGGCGAACAGUGGAAAUCACAUUUGCACUGAACAAAGCAGAGGUGGUUUCUCACCACAGCAGGUGGGACCCAUUUCACAUCCUGUGACCGGCGGAGGAUGGAGAAGUCCCCGGCCAGGGGAGGGCUCGAGGACACUGGGCCCACUCUUGACUCAGGCAUUUCUGUUUGUUUUUAGGGUCUUCCUACUCUCCUGGGGCUGCCCUAACCAAGCCACAGGCUCAGGGCUCAAACGGCAGGCAUCCCUUUCAGGCUGGAGGCCGCAAGCCCUAAACUGAGGUGUCGCGGGGCCGUGCUGCUUCUGGGGGGGGCACUCCCUGUGCCUCCAGCCUCCAGUGAUGCCAGACAUCCUCGGUGUCCCUUGGUUGGUGGACAUGUCACCCCUCUCUGCAUCCAGGGGCACACGGUAUCUCCUGGUAAGGACAGUGUGCUGUUGGUGUGGGACUCACUGACUUCAGGUGACCGACCCCCUUUUACCGAUGGCGCCUGCAGUGGCCCUGUCUCCGGGUAAGGCCCCAUUCUGAGAUCACUAGGGUCAGGACUGAGGCAUAUCAUUUUGUGGGAUGGUUCAACCUCGUGCAGGUCGUGGCUGUGCCCUCUUCUGUGUUACAGUAUUGAAAAACCAUUUACAUUAAAAAAAAUUAACUUUUAUGGGGGGCCUGGGUGGCUCAAUUGGUUAAGUGUGCGACUUUGGGUCAGGUCAUGAUCUCACAGUCCGUAGGUUUAAACCCUGCAUCGGGCUCUGUACUGGCAGCUCAGAGCCUGGAGCCUGCUCCGGAUUCUGUGUUUCCCUCUUUCUCUGCUCCUCCCUCACUCAUGCUUUGUCUCUCUGUCUCUCAAAAAUAAAUAAAAGUUAAAAAAAAUAAAAAAAAACUUUUAGAG